GCUUGGGUUUGUUGCGGCUCAGAGCAGGAUCAGGAGCCGCUCCAGCACCGCGGGACCGCGGCGCGGUGCGGGGGGAAGGGGACGGGGCGGGGCCGCGUUUCGGGCCCGCGGCUGCCGUGAGGGAGGGCCCGUGAGGGCGGCAGGAAGCGGCGGCGGGCGGCCCCGGCCCUUCCGGGGCGCGGGCGGCGGAGGAGCGGCGGGGCGGCGGCGGAGGAGCCGCGGGGCGGCGCGGGUGCGGCGGGGCGGCGGCGGAGGAGCGGCGGGGCGGCGGCGGAGGAGCGGCGGCGCGGAUAUGGAUAACAGGAAGGAUGAAAAAAGUAGGACGCUGUGUGCAACCUCAGAAGAAGGGCUGAAGGCCCGAGGAAAAGAAAAAAGGAAACGAAAGCGCAGCAGAAGCAGAUCCUCCUCUGUUUCAUCCACAUCGUCUUCUAGCAGUACAUCCACUUCUUCCUCCUCAUCACGCUCAUCAUCAAGGUCAUCUUCUUCCAGUAGUAGUAGAGAUUCUCCUAAGUCUAAGUCAAAGAAAAAGAAAAAGGAAAAACACAACAAAAAGAAGAGGAAAAAGGAGAACAAAAUGAAGAAAAAGAAGGAAAAGAAGAAAAGGAAAGAGAAAACAGGACCUGUCCAGCUUUCCAAGUUCUUCAAGAACAAAAAGAAGAAUGAAAACUACAGCAUGAUAACUGGAAAGAAAAUUAAGAUGAAAAUAAAAAAGACUAAGGAAGAUAUAGAGAGAGACCGGAACCGUGCCCAGCUCCUGGAAUUUCUGAACUCUGCCUUGUAAUGGGAAGAGUCCUCACCAAGGACUGGUAGAUGUAUCAAGCCAGCCAUCAUCCUAGCAGAACACUAAGGAGAAACUCAGGGAAAAGGACACCAAGUUGGACAAGACCAGACCCUCCUACUGAGAAGAAAAUUGGGAUGUCCUUUCUUAAUGGGAAAACACAGAGUAGCUAAUAACUUGUUAAUGUCCUCCUUUUGAGAUCCUAAGGUAAUAACCAAGCUGUGGUGUUUCAGAAAAGCCCAAGUGUAUGUUGUUCACAGUGAUAAGAAAUUACACACUGAAGUCCAGCAAUGUAAUUUCUAUCUUAACUGCAUGCAGAAUGCACUCUUCAUUUCAAAUGUCUUAAUUUUUCUAGUAGUUUCAAGCAGAAUAUUUGUAAAUGUUUAUUUGAAAGAUAAGGUGUUUAUUUUAUGUAUAUUUUUUUCUGGUAGUGGUUAUGGAUAUCAUACAGAGCAAACUGACCUUUGUAAAUAGAACAUCCUUUCACAUAAAUGAUUUUUUUUGAAAGUCCAUUCACUAAUAUGUUAUUUUCUUUCAGAAUUUGAGAUGUGGUGUUUCUCUGGACAGUUUAUUGCUCUAUCUCAUUAGAAAGUGUAACAGCAAAAUACUCUAGAGCAGUAAUGGUAGCAAAUUAUUUUUAUUCUAAAAUAGAAGCAGGAAAGGUCUCUGGUUUUCUUUAUCUGAAUCAGUUGUUCAGUUCAUAAUAGACAGUUUACCCCCCCCCCCCCAUCUGGAGUUGCAGUUCCUAGACUGAAAGCUCUGGAGUUGUGGUCUGCUUUUCUGAUCCUGUGAGGCGUGUAUCAAGUCUUUCUCUCUUUGAAGUGCAAUGAGGCAUGUGCCAUCGACAUACCUUAGGCUGAUGGAGAAAGAGCUGUGGAAUGGUGUUGAGACAGGCAGUGACAGUGACUUCACGGGUCUGCUGACAGUCCACUGUGAG
ensembl:lncRNA